UGAGACAAGAGGCUCCUAUGUCCUGCGACGAGUAUCUUGGAAUGGAUUCAUCUAGAGUGGAUUCAGUAUCCUACUGACAUUGAGACACCAGCCUCUAUUGGCUCCGAGCAGACUGGAUGGGAAGAGGACAAAGAGCAGAAAAACACUUGUACAUUUUACCAGUUUGCCCAAAGAGGUCUCCAAGUCCUCCCUGCACCAGUAUUCCCCUGGGUUAUGUAACAGCCUGCUACACUGCUGGAAUGACAUACAGCUGACAGCUGUAUGAUGCUCAUUCAGUGAAACAGAUGGGGAGCUGAAAGUUUCGUCAAUAAUAGAACUCUGAUGGCUUCAUGUCAGCGGUCAAGAUAGAUAGAUAGAUUUGUCAACAUUUUUCAACAUACAAUAAAAGCUCACAUAAGAAAAAUAAGCAGAAGGAAGGAAGGAAGAGAGAGAAAGAGAAAAGAAGAAAUAAAAACAACAGGCCAGACAAGUAAAGAAGAG